GGAUGUGAGGGCGAUCACUUGGUCCCCUUCCUCCCUCACGGCUCCAUGUGUGUCCCUCCCGAAGCUGUGCGCUAGGUGGAAGAGGAUGGCCUUCCCCGAAUACAGACGGACCGGUCUUCGGUUGGCCGAGGAUAUACGAGUAGCAGCACUCCUCUGCUAGAACCUCCAAACAAGCUCUCUAGAAAUGAUAACUCAGUAGAAGACUAGAGAGAUAGCAUAAUAGCUAUGCAAAGACACUUGCAUGCCUGAACCUUAAGGUCCCAG
rnacentral:snRNA from 1 species